UACGGAGGGGGCAAGCGUUGUUCGGAAUUACUGGGCGUAAAGGGCGCGUAGGCGGCUCUGCAAGUCGGGUGUGAAAUCCCCAGGCUUAACCUGGGAACUGCAUUCGAGACUGCAUUGCUAGAGUAUGGGAGAGGGAAGUGGAAUUUCCGGUGUAGCGGUGAAAUGCGUAGAUAUCGGAAGGAACAUCAGUGGCGAAAGCGACUUCCUGGACCAAUACUGACGCUCAUGUGCGAAAGCGUGGGGAGCAAACAGG
rnacentral:rRNA from 1 species